AUUGAACGCUGGCGGCAGGCCUAACACAUGCAAGUCGAACGAGCGGCGGACGGGUGAGUAAUGUCUGGGAAUCUGCCCGAUAGAGGGGGAUAACUACUGGAAACGGUAGCUAAUACCGCAUACUAUCGGAUGUACCCAUAUGGGAUUAGCUUGUUGGUGGGGUAACGGCUCACCAAGGCGACGAUCCCUAGCUGGUCUGAGAGGAUGAUCAGCCACACUGGGACUGAGACACGGUCCAGACUCCUACGGGAGGCAGCAGUGGGGAAUAUUGCACAAUGGGCGCAAGCCUGAUGCAGCCAUGCCGCGUGUAUGAAGAAGGCCUUAGGGUUGUAAAGUACUUUCAGCGGGGAGGCGUUACCCGCAGAAGAAGCACCGGCUAACUCCGUGCCAGCAGCCGCGGUAAUAC
rnacentral:rRNA from 1 species